GAUGAACGCUGGCGGCGUGCCUAAUACAUGCAAGUCGAGCGAAUGGAUUAAGAGCUUGCUCUUAUGAAGUUAGCGGCGGACGGGUGAGUAACACGUGGGUAACCUGCCCAUAAGACUGGGAUAACUCCGGGAAACCGGGGCUAAUACCGGAUAACAUUUUGAACCGCAUGGUUCGAAAUUGAAAGGCGGCUUCGGCUGUCACUUAUGGAUGGACCCGCGUCGCAUUAGCUAGUUGGUGAGGUAACGGCUCACCAAGGCAACGAUGCGUAGCCGACCUGAGAGGGUGAGCGGCCACGCUGGGACUGAGACACGGCCCAGACUCCUGCGGGAGGCAGCAGUAGGGAAUCUUCCGCAAUGGACGAAAGUCUGACGGAGCAACGCCGCGUGAGUGAUGAAGGCUUUCGGGUCGUAAAACUCUGUUGUUAGGGAAGAACAAGUGCUAGUUGAAUAAGCUGGCACCUUGACGGUACCUAACCAGAAAGCCACGGCUAACUACGUGCCAGCCGCCGCCGUAA
rnacentral:rRNA from 1 species